AGAGUUUGAUCCUGGCUCAGGAUUAACGCUAGCGACGUGCCUAAGGUAUGCAAGUCGAACGGUUUUAUUUGAGUAGCAAUACAAGAAUAAAGCAGUGGCAAACGGCUGAGUAACACGUAGGAAUCUACCCCUAAGUCAAGCAUAGCUCACCGAAAGGUGGGGUAAAUCUUGAUGGUCUCUUCGGAGUAAAUCUUUCGAGCUUAGGGAUGAGCCUGCGUCCUAUCAGAUUGUUGGCGGGGUAAAGGCCCACCAAGUCUAUGACGGGUAGCUGGUCUGAGAGGAUGGCCAGCCAGACUGGGACUGAGAUACGGCCCAGACUCCUACGGGGGGCAGCAACUAGGAAUUAUGCACAAUGGACGCAAGUCUGAUGCUGCGACGUCGCGUGGAGGAUGAAGAUCUUCGGAUUGUAAACUCCUUUUAUUGGGAAACAAGUUCUGAGUGUACCCAAUGAAUAAGUGCCUGCCAACCACGUGCCAGAAGCAUCGGUAAUACGUGGGACACAAGCGUUAUCCGGAUUCACUGGGCGUAAAGAGAUGCGUAGGUGAUCCAGUAAGUUUUAUGUUAAAUCUUAACGCUCAACGUUAAAAUCGCAUAAAAAACUAUUGGAAUUGAGUUAGGUAGAGAAGAGGGGAAUUCCUGGUGGAGCGGUUAAAUGCGUUGAUAUCAGGAGAAACACCAAUGGCGAAGGCACCUCUUUGGACCUUUACUGACACUAAUGCUCGAAAGCGUGGGGAGCAAAACGGAUUAGAUACCCUAGUAGUCC
rnacentral:rRNA from 1 species